rnacentral:rRNA from 1 species
UGGGGAAUAUUGGACAAUGGGCGAAAGCCUGAUCCAGCCAUGCCGCGUGAGUGAUGAAGGCCCUAGGGUUGUAAAGCUCUUUUGUGCGGGAAGAUAAUGACGGUACCGCAAGAAUAAGCCCCGGCUAACUUCGUGCCAGCAGCCGCGGUAAUACGAAGGGGGCUAGCGUUGCUCGGAAUCACUGGGCGUAAAGGGUGCGUAGGCGGGUUUCUAAGUCAGAGGUGAAAGCCUGGAGCUCAACUCCAGAACUGCCUUUGAUACUGGAAGUCUUGAGUUCGGGAGAGGUGAGUGGAACUUCGAGUGUCGAGGUGAAAUUCGUAGAUAUUCGCAAGAACACCAGUGGCGAAGGCGGCUCACUGGCCCGAUACUGACGCUGAGGCACGAAAGCGUGGGGAGCAAACA